rnacentral:rRNA from 1 species
UACGAAGGGGGCUAGCGUUGUUCGGAAUUACUGGGCGUAAAGGGCGCGUAGGCGGUACUUCAAGUCAGGCGUGAAAGCCCCGGGCUCAACCUGGGAACCGCGCUUGAGACUGGAGAACUAGAGUUCGGGAGAGGAUGGUGGAAUUCCCAGUGUAGAGGUGAAAUUCGUAGAUAUUGGGAAGAACACCGAUGGCGAAGGCAGCCAUCUGGACCGACACUGACGCUGAGGCGCGAAGGCGUGGGGAGCAAACAGG